GGGAUAGCUCGGGGAAACUCGAAUUAAUACCGCAUACGACCUACGGGUGAAAGGGGGCGCAAGCUCUUGCUAUUAGAUGAGCCUAAAUCAGAUUAGCUAGUUGGUGGGGUAAAGGCCCACCAAGGCGACGAUCUGUAACUGGUCUGAGAGGAUGAUCAGUCACACCGGAACUGAGACACGGUCCGGACUCCUACGGGAGGCAGCAGUGGGGAAUAUUGGACAAUGGGGGCAACCCUGAUCCAGCCAUGCCGCGUGUGUGAAGAAGGCCUUUUGGUUGUAAAGCACUUUAAGCAGGGAGGAGAGGCUAAUGGUUAAUACCCAUUAGAUUAGACGUUACCUGCAGAAUAAGCACCGGCUAACUCUGUGCCAGCAGCCGCGGUAAUACAGAGGGUGCGAGCGUUAAUCGGAAUUACUGGGCGUAAAGCGAGUGUAGGUGGCUCAUUAAGUCACAUGUGAAAUCCCCGGGCUUAACCUGGGAACUGCAUGUGAUACUGGUGGUGCUAGAAUAUGUGAGAGGGAAGUAGAAUUCCAGGUGUAGCGGUGAAAUGCGUAGAGAUCUGGAGGAAUACCGAUGGCGAAGGCAGCUUCCUGGCAUAGUAUUGACACUGAGAUUCGAAAGCGUGGGUAGCAAACAGGAUUAGAUACCCUGGUAGUCCACGCCGUAUACGAUGUCUACUACCCGUUGGGGUCCUUGACACUGUAAUGGCGCAGUUAAACUCAAGAUUGACGGGGGCCCGCACAAGCGGUGGAGCAUGUGGUUUAAUUCGAUGCAACGAGAAGAACUUACCUGGUCUUGACAUAGUGAGAAUCCUGCAGAGAUGCGGGAGUGCCUUCGGGAAUUCACAUACAGGUGCUGCAUGGCUGUCGUCAGCUCGUGUCGUGAGAUGUUGGGUUAAGUCCCGCAACGAGCGCAACCCUUUUCCUUAUUUGCCAGCGGGUUAAGCCGGGAACUUUAAGGAUACUGCCAGUGACAAACUGGAGGAAGGCGGGGACGACGUCAAGUCAUCAUGGCCCUUACGACCAGGGCUACACACGUGCUACAAUGGUAGGUACAGAGGGUUGCUACACAGCGAUGUGAUGCUAAUCUCAAAAAGCCUAUCGUAGUCCGGAUUGGAGUCUGCAACUCGACUCCAUGAAGUCGGAAUCGCUAGUAAUCGCAGAUCAGAAUGCUGCGGUGAAUACGUUCCCGGCCUUGUCAC
rnacentral:rRNA from 1 species